rnacentral:rRNA from 1 species
UUUAGUAGAAUGAAUCGAAAUAUAAUAGGAUAAGCUAUAGAGAAGAGUACUGUGAAGGAAAGAUGAAAUAAAUUUGAAAAUUGAGUUAAUAAAAAGUAGUUAUAUAAAUUCGUACCUUGUGUAUCAGGGAAAACUAAAAUUGUCUGUAAAUUUGAGAAAUCCCGAAAAAAGAAGAGUUAAUUCAAAAAGAAAGUUUUCGUGUUAAUGAAAUUUUAAAUUUUGUUUUAGUAGUGAAAUGUUAGUCGAUUUUUUAUAUCUGGUUAUUAGAGAAUUAAAUUUAAUUUAGUUGCUUAAUGGUUGAAUAUAACUAAUAAGUAAUAAAGAAUAGGAGGGAAGAGCUUCUUAUUCUAUAAUGGUUAGAUUGUGAUUUAAAACUUAUUUAGAUUUGUUAAAUUAGGCUUAAAAACAGCCAUAUUAGUAAAGCGUUCUAGUUAAUAAAGUUUGCUUAAAAUAUUUAUAUAAAGAAAUCCAAAAAAAUGUAUCUAAGAUUUUUAUUUAAUAUAAGUUUAAAAGUUAUUCUGGUUUUAUUAGUAGAGUUAGAUUGUAAUUAAUUUACGUUUAAAGUAGACUAAAAAUUAUUAUAUUAAAAAAGUAUAAUUAAGGAACUCGGCAAGUAUUACUUUUGCCUGUUUAUCAAAAACAUGUCUGUAUGAUUGUUAUAUAGAGUCUGGCCUGCCCACUGAUUUAUUAAAGGGCCGCGGUAUCUUGACCGUGCGAAGGUAGCAUAAUCAUUAGUCUUUUAAUUGAAGGCUUGUAUGAAUGGUUGGACAAAAAGUUAACUGUCUCAAUUAUAAAAAUUGAAUUUAACUUUUAAGUGAAAAGGCUUAAAUAUACUGAGGGGACGAUAAGACCCUAUAAAGCUUUACAAUAAAUUAAUUAAAUUAUAAAUUAUAAGUUUAACUUAAUUUAAUUAGUAUUUGUUUCGUUGGGGCGACGAGAAUAUAAUUAUAUAACUGUUCUUUUAUUGUUAUAACAAAUUUAAUUGGGUGAAAAUUGAUCCUUUUAUAAAGAUUAAAAGAUUAAGUUACUUUAGGGAUAACAGCGUAAUCUUCUUUGAGAGUCCAUAUCGACAAGAAGGGUUGCGACCUCGAUGUUGAAUUAAGGUAUCCUUACAAUGCAGCAGUUGUAAAGGAAGGUCUGUUCGACCUUUAAAUCCUUACAUGAUUUGAGUUCAGACCGGCGUAAGCCAGGUCGGUUUCUAUCUCUCAGAAUAUAAAAAAUUACUUUAGUACGAAAGGAUUAAGUAAUUAAAAUAAUUUU